ACAAAUUCCCAUUAAAAUAUAUCACAUUUUUCAAUUUAGCUAAAUUGUUCAAAAACAGGGUAAGGAACUUGGUUCCCUGAAAAACUUCUGGCACAGACAUCUGGCGGUAUGGCCGUCCAAGAAGAAAAUGUAGCCAUUGAUGCCAUCUAUCGACCACAGGUUAAAGAUUGGCGAUCCGUUGAAUACCGACCGAGUUAUAGGCAAAAUUUGGUGCAAAAAUGACCCUUAGUAAAUUUUCAUUUUUUUGAAUUUUUUGAUUUUUUCAUUAUUUUUCACUCUUUUUUUUAUUUCAAUCAUUAUUUGAGUGAAAAGAAACUCAUUGCAACCAAUUGGGAUUAAAAUAAAACAAUUUUAUUUUUUUUGCAAAAUUUCUCAAAAAAAAACGUAAGGGGUAAGCCUUAUGAAAUUUUCGAGUUGAAAUUUUUUUGAAAUUUUUUUUUUUCGAUUUUUUAUUCUUUUUUUAGUUUAAAGUAUUAUUUGAGUGAAAAGAAACAUAUUGCAACAAAUUCCCAUUAAAAUAUAUCACAUUUUUCAAUAUUGCUAAAUUGUUCAGAAACAGGGUAAGGAACUUGGUUCCCUGAAUAACUUCUGGCACAGACAUCUGACGGUAUGGCCGUCCAAGAAGAAAAUGUAGCCAUUGGUGCCAUCUAUCGACCACAAGUUAAAGAUUGGCGAUCCGUUGAAUACCGACCGAGUUAUAGGCAAAAUUUGGUGCAAAAAUGACCCUUAGUAAAUUUUCAUUUUUUUGAAUUUUUUGAUUUUUUCAUUAUUUUUCACUCUUUUUUUAUUUCAAUCAUUAUUUGAGUGAAAAGAAACUCAUUGCAACCAAUUGGGAUUAAAAUAAAACAAUUUUAUUUUUUUUGCAAAAUUUCUCAAAAAAAACGUAAGGGGUAAGCCUUAUGAAAUUUUCGAGUUGAAAUUUUUUUGAAAUUUUUUUUUUCGAUUUUUUAUUCUUGUUUUAGUUUAGAGCAUUAUUUGAGUGAAAAGAAACAUAUUGCAACAAAUUCCCAUUAAAAUAUAUCACAUUUUUCAAUAUUGCUAAAUUGUUCAGAAACAGGGUAAGGAACUUGGUUCCCUGAAUAACUUCUGGCACAGACAUCUGACGGUAUGGCCGUCCAAGAAGAAAAUGUAGCCAUUGGUGCCAUCUAUCGACCACAAGUUAAAGAUUGGCGAUCCGUUGAAUACCGACCGAGUUAUAGGCAAAAUUUGGUGCAAAAAUGACCCUUAGUAAAUUUUCAUUUUUUUGAAUUUUUUGAUUUUUUCAUUAUUUUUCACUCUUUUUUUUAUUUCAAUCAUUAUUUGAGUGAAAAGAAACUCAUUGCAACCAAUUGGGAUUAAAAUAAAACAUUUUUAUUUUUUUUGCAAAAUUUCUCAAAAAAAACGUAAGGGGUAAGCCUUAUGAAAUUUUCGAGUUGAAAUUUUUUUGAAUUUUUUUUUUCGAUUUUUUAUUCUUUUUUUAGUUUAAAGCAUUAUUUGAGUGAAAAGAAACAUAUUGCAACAAAUUCCCAUUAAAAUAUAUCACAUUUUUCAAUUUAGCUAAAUUGUUCAAAAACAGGGUAAGGAACUCGGUUCCCUGAAUAACUUCUGGCACAGACAUCUGGCGGUAUGGCUGUUCAAGAAGAAAAUGUAGCCAUUGGUGCCAUCUAUCGACCACAAGUUAAAGAUUGGCGAUCCGUUGGAUACCGAUCGAGUUAUAGGCAAAAGUUGGUGCAAAAAUGAGAAAAAUUUUACAUUUUCUCAAACAGGGUAAGGAACUUGGUUCCUCGAAUAACUUCUGGCACAGACAGCUGAGGGCAUGGCCGUCCAAGAAGAAAAUGUAGCCAUUGAUGCCAUCUAUCGACCACAGGUUAAAGAUUGGCGAUUCGUUGGAUACCGACCGAGUUAUAGGCAAAAUUUGGUGCAAAAACGAGGAAAAUUUUAAUUUUUUUUUUAAUUUUUUGAUUUUUUUAUUAAUUUUUCACUCUUUUUUUUACUUCAAGCAUUAUUAGAGUGAAAAGAAACACAUUGCAACCCAUUGACAUUAAAAUAAAACAAUUUAAUUUUUUUUGCAAAAUUUGCCCAAAAAAAUCGUAAGGGGUAAGCCUUAUGAAAUUUUCGAGUGGAAAAUUUUUUUGAAAUUUUUUUCUGAUUUUUUAUUCUUUUUUUAAUUUAAAGCAUUAUUUGAGUGAAAAGAAACAUAUUGCAACAAAUUCCCAUUAAAAUAUAUCACAUUUUUCAAUUUAGCAAAAUUGUUCAAAAACAGGGUAAGGAACUUGGUUCCCUGAAUAACUUCUGGCACAGACAUCUGGCGGUAUGGCUGUUUAAGAAGAAAAUGUAGCCAUUGGUGCCAUCUAUCGACCACAAGUUAAAGAUUGGCGAUCCGUUGGAUACCGACCGAGUUAUAGGCAAAAGUUGGUGCAAAAAUGAGAAAAAUUUUACAUUUUCUCAAACAGGGUAAGGAACUUGAUUCCCUGAAUAACUUCUGGCACAGA